rnacentral:rRNA from 1 species
UACAGAGGGUGCUAGCGUUGUUCGGAAUCAUUGGGCGUAAAGGGCGUGUAGGCGGUUUGCUAAGUCAUGUGUGAAAUCCCUCGGCUCAACCGGGGAACGACGCAUGAAACUGGCAAGCUAGAGUACCAAAGAGGGGGGUGGAAUUCCCGGUGUAGCGGUGAAAUGCGUAGAUAUCAGGAGGAACACCUGUGGCGAAAGCGGCUCACUGGACCACAAUUGACGCUGAGGCACGAAAGCGUGGGGAGCAAACAGG